rnacentral:tRNA from 1 species
CGGGGUGUAGCGCAGCCUGGUAGCGCAUCUGCUUUGGGAGCAGAGGGUCGGGAGUUCGAAUCUCUCCACCCCGA